rnacentral:rRNA from 1 species
GUCUACAACUAUACCAUCUUAAAUGCACCUGAUCUCAGAAGCUAAUUAGGGCAGGGCCUGGUUAGUACUCAGAUGGGAGGGAAAGUAUGGUUCAAACC